UACAGAGGUCUCAAGCGUUUGUUCGGAUUCAUUGGGCGUAAAGGGUGCGUAGGCGGCGCGGUAAGUCGGGUGUGAAAUCUUGGAGCUUAACUCCGAAACUGCAUUCGAUACUGCCGUGCUUGAGGACUGGAGAGGAGACUGGAAUUUACGGUGUAGCGGUGAAAUGCGUAGAUAUCGUAAGGAAGACCAGUGGCGGAAGGCGGGUCUCUGGACAGUUCCUGACGCUGAGGCACGAAGGCCAGGGGAGCAAACGGG
rnacentral:rRNA from 1 species